rnacentral:lncRNA from 1 species
GCCAGUUCCGUAAAACUUAACCCACGGAAAGAUUAAGAAGCGGAGAACUGAGGCACCUGGCGCUCCGGAGACAACGGUGACUUUAGAAGCUUAGAACAAGAACAAACGGGAAAAAGCACAGACUUCCCACCUCGCUCAGGAAACCGGCGCUCGCCAGCGCCUGGAUUUCAAGGAAGCUGAACUGAUGGUUCCGAUGAGUGAUGGGAAACAACCAGGUAUUAGAUCCAAAGUGAUGGGUGGAAACUUAAAUAGCAUCCUGCCGUGCACUGUCAUGCAUGAUUUUAAAUCUCAGCAGCUCGGGGAUUGAGUGUGGUGAAAUGUCUAUUUUCAAUAUAAGCAUGAAUGUUACCUUUAAGUAUGGUAUUUAAGUAGAAUAAGUGAGUGCUUCCUUGUUAUAAUUAAAUAAAAUGCUUGGUUCAUCCGGAU